AAAGUGAGAAAAAGUGCAAAUUAGCUCAAAAUGGAAAUUUGAGCGUUUUUGGCCAAAAUUGCCAAAAUAAAUUGUUGAAAAGUGAUAUUAUAAGAUAUGAGACUAAUAUUAUUUAUUUGGAAGUAAAUAAUACAGAAUUUAUCAAGAUCGAAUGAUUAAGUGAUUGAUGGACUAAAUCGGACAAAAUAAAAGUUUGAAAGUGAAGCAAAAGGAGGUGGCAACUUCAAGGAUCAAAGGAGACACUUUGCCAAUAAAAUAUAAACCCUUUUCAUGUGAUUUAAACCAGCAAAAACUCAUUUUCAGCCAACAAAAUCGUCAUCUUCUUCCUUUGAUUCAAGAACAUGCUAAACCUUUCCAAGGCCAUAUCUCACUCGUUUCUCAUCCGAUUUGGACGAUUCUUGCGGCCACGGAAAGAGGAGAACGACCUCUACUGAUCUAUCCCAGAAAUUCAAGGUGUUCUUGAGUUGAAUUGAAGUAAAAUUUAUGGCGAAAUUGAGCUUGAAGUGUUCGGCCAUGAUCAACAAUCCAAGACUCGAAGAAGCGACUAUCGAUAAGGCUCGAGGCGAAUGGAUCGAGAUAUCGUCGUGCUUAUUUAAAGAAUUUGGAUAGCAAGUGGGAUGGUAUGAUAUGAUUUGAAGAGUUAAGCUUCCGAAGUUUUAAUUCUCGGAAGUCAUUUGUAUAAGAAGAAAAGAAGGUUUUCAUUCUAGCAGUCCGCAGUAGUCUAGAUAUUUUAACUAGAAUUUUGUAUAACGCGUUUUUAACUCUGAUAUUAUUUGUAAAUGGGGUCACAUGUAUUUUAAUAUAUGAAAUAUGUUUU